UAACACCUGGAAACAGAUGCUAAUACCGGAUAACAACAGAUGAUGCCUAUCAACUGUUUAAAAGANGGUUCUGCUAUCACUCUUGGAUGGACCUGCGGUGCAUUAGCUAGUUGGUAGGGUAACGGCCUACCAAGGCGAUGAUGCAUAGCCGAGUUGAGAGACUGAUCGGCCACAUUGGGACUGAGACACGGCCCAAACUCCUACGGGAGGCAGCAGCU
rnacentral:rRNA from 1 species